AGCCGCCGCUCCCACACCCUCCGUCUCCUCCCUCCGCCCCUCCUUUGUCUGCACCGCUCGACGCCGCCGCCGCCGCCGCCCGCGCGGGCACUGGAGGGAGCCGCUCGCGCCGCCGCCCGCCGCUGCGCUGCGCCCGCCGCGCCCCCCGGCAGCAGCCGCGGCCGCGGCGCGAGCCGGAGCCCGCCGAGGCCCGGGCGCGCCCUCGCCGCCGCCAGCGCCGUGCCGCCGCCGCGCCGCCGCCGCCCCGCCGCCGCCGCCGCCGCCGCCGCCGCCGCCCGGCCCCCGAGCACGCCGGCCCCGCGCGCGCCUCGAGGCCGAGUCAAGGUAAGCCCGCGGCCGCCGCGCCGCCCGCCCGCCCGGCGCAUUGUUGCCGCCGCCGGCCCUCCGGCCGCGCGCUCCUUUGCAUACUCCGGUGACGGCGCGGACCGCUACCCGGCCCGGGGACCAGGCGCCUCCUCCUGCAGCCCGACCCCCGUCCCCGCCCCGCGGGCCGCCGUCGGCCCGGCCGCCCGAGCCUGCCCGCGGACGGCAUCUCCGUCCACCCCGCCCGCCGCGGGAGCCGCGCUGCCCCAUCCCGUCCCUGGGGCUGCUCUCUGCUCCUGCCCCCGGAAAGGAGCCCCCGCGACCAGCCUGCUGCCGGGUCUGCCGCCCUGCCGGGGAGGGGGCGGCGGGGGCGGGAGCGUGCGGGGCGCCGAGGGAAAGUCUUCGCUUCCCGGGUGCAGCCCUCCUCCCCGGCGUGCAGCUCCCUCCUCCUGGCCGCGGCGCCCGCCACCCCGGCUGCAGUCGCACUGCCCGGUCUGCACGGCCUCCCACGAGCAUCUGAGCCCCAACUUUGCAGUGAGCUGGGGAGGACGGCAGCCCAGACCGCUGCGCGAGGGUUUUGUUAAUGCAAUAGCUGGGGAGCAGUUGCUCGAGCACCUUUUGAUCGCCGCCUCUCUCCGGGCCGCCCGCCCCUCCCCCCCUGGAUGCCCGUCUGCUGGAAAAGGCGCGAUCGCCGCUCUUCCUCUUCUGCCCCAGACGGGCGCUGAGGUCUCCCAGCCUUUUCAGCCGCACGCACACCCGCGCUAG
rnacentral:lncRNA from 1 species